UUUAAUAUUCCUAUUGAGCCAUAGAAUAUUUCAUGAUCACUCUUCCAGAAACUGACACAAAUGCCUAUUAUUAUUAUUAUUAUUAUUAUCUUUUAUUCAUUAAACAUGAAAUAUCAACUGAACAUAGACAUGAAAUAUCAACUGAAAUAUCAACAUCAACUGAACAUUUAAAAAUGUGUCACAAAUACCAUUGACUGGUGCUAAUGGUUGAUACAGGUUGCUGCCAGCAUCCUAGGUAUCAACCAAGUACCUUCUUAAGAUGGAUUCCAAGUAGCACAGUUCCGCUGGUGUUAUUGCAGUAAGCUGCAAUUUGUUGAUGUAUCUUAUAAAAUUCUAGGACAUGGUACCAAGUGCCUCGAUGACAUGACAAUGGGUAUCACUGUUACAUGUUUCAUCCAUAGCCGUGUAGUUUCGAUGGCCAGGUCGCGAUAUUUCAUGAUUUUUUCCAGUUCUUUUUUUUCAACUCUGGCAUCUCUUGGUAUUGCAAUGUCAAUAAAUUGUACGUUUCGGUUUUCGACAACUGUGAUAUCUGGCGUGUUGUGUUCCAAGUGAUGAUCUGUCUGUAUUCCAAAGUCCCACAAGAUCUUCACCAUCUCAUUUUCUAUAACUUUUUCCACUAUGUUCCCAUGACUUUUUGGAUACAGAUAAAUCGUAUUUUUUACAUAAUGACCAGUGGAUUAAUUUAGCAACUCGGUCGUGUCUAUUAUUAUUAUUAUUAUUAUUAUUAUUAUUAUUAUUAUUAUUAUUAUCAUCAUCAUCAUCAUCAUCAUCAUCAUCAUCAUCAUCAUCAUCAUCAUCUUACAUUACCAGGAAAAAUUCAAAUUUCUAGAAACAUCUAUUUCAGGAUAACUUUUACUCUUCCCUCUCCACAAAGCAGAAUGCCAAACUAAUUUGGAAAGGAAAGGACUGAUUUUACUUGUUCAUGAGUAUUUCUAUUCAGUAUAAUAGCAAAGGCUUUUAAAGUCCCUGGGGUCCUUGCUUUAUAUCUAUAAUUUACUUUCAUUGUGUUUUACAGAUGCCUGUUAGAGCAAAUUUUUAAAGUGCAAUUGCAUCAGAUGGGAAUGCAGAAGAAAAAUUACAGACAAAUACAAAAUACAUUAAGAGAAUCAAGAAGUGGGAUAAAACUCAUACAAAAAGGAAUAAACUCUGAAUACAUUAGAGCUAAUGAUUGUCUGGGGAAAACAGACUAAAAGAAGGACUUGCGAAAAGGUUUCGCUAAAACUUGUUGGAAGAGGUGACACCCUAGAAAAGAAGAGAAGGUGACAUUUUAGUGGAAGGGAUGAGAAGUAUGUCUGGAUUCAGGAUUCAGGAUUUUGCUGAAUUGCAGCAUACAGCAGCUGAAAGGUAGAGUGAGAGUCCAGUGGCAUCUAGAAAAACACAAGUUUAUCAACUGUACUCCAGAAAGAGGUAGACUAGAUCAAUCAAGAAACAAUUGAAAAGAGUGCAAUCAUCCAAUUUACUCAAUUUUAAAAAGAAGAAAUUGUUGGAGUUGCAUAUUAGAUACAGAAAACACUCUACUUUCAGAAUCCAAAAUGUCUUCACCCCCCAAACUACAGACGGCAACAUCUGGGCCAGGUGAGGUUUUGUCCACCUUGCAAGAGAUACAAGAGACGGCAGCCCUCCAGAUGCAGGGGCCCAGGGACCUCCAGCUGUUAUUCAGAGACCGAAGCCCUGAUCGGAGGAGUUUGUGGUUUGAUGAGGUGAUUAAAAAAAGGCUGUUUUUCUAGACAUGAAGGGUCA